UACGUAGGUGGCGAGCGUUAAUCGGAUUUACUGGGCGUAAAGCGUGCGUAGGCGGUUUGAUAAGUCGGUUGUGAAAGCCCCGGGCUCAACCUGGGAAUUGCGGCCGAUACUGUCAGACUAGAAAACGGUAGAGGGAGGCGGAACUCCAGGUGUAGCGGUGAAAUGCGUAGAUAUCUGGAAGAACACCGAUGGCGAAGGCAACCUCCUGGGCCUGUUUUGACGCUGAGGCACGAAAGCGUGGGUAGCAAACAGG
rnacentral:rRNA from 1 species